GGAUUUUGGAUAUGUGAGAACUUUUCCUUCUACUUUUUUUGGCUGCUUAAGAAUUAUUUCUUUACAUAAACAUAUAUGCACAUGCAUAUAUGUAGGCAAACAAUGUGUGUAGUAUGAUCCCAGGUUUAGCAUUUCAGCUAUAUAAGUCAUGUGAUAAGUUAUGAAAAUUUAAAUGCUCUGAGUAAAUCAUAAUUAUGGACAAUUAUGAAGUGUGGAGAAAAUCCUUUAAAAUAAUUUUGGAGAAUUCAUUUUUUUCUAUCAGAUACAUGUUUAUUUAAAAGUAAAGUACUAUAAAGUAUAUUUAAUUUGUUACUUUUUAUUUCCUAUGGCAUAAAUGGUAACAAAAUGCAGUAGUCCAAUAUAGUAUUAAUUAGAAAUAACUAAUUUUGCAAGUGCGUAACCUAAGCAAUAACAUUUAACAGAGGAAAUUUAUAUUUAUUAUUAAUUAAACAUUAGAUAUACUGUGGAUUUUUGUUUUUUGGUUUUUUUUUUGUUUUUUUCCAGAGAACCAGAGGACGAAAACGAAGCUUCGUUCCUGAGGAAGAAAAACAUGAGGAAAGAGUUCCUAGAGAGAGAAGACAAAGACAGUCUGUGUUGCAAAAGAAGCCCAAGGCUGAAGAUUUAAGAACUGAAUGUGCAACUUGCAAGGGAACUGGAGACAAUGAAAAUCUUGUCAGGUGUGAUGAAUGCAGACUCUGCUACCAUUUUGGCUGUUUGGAUCCUCCUUUGAAAAAGUCUCCUAAACAGACAGGCUACGGAUGGAUAUGUCAGGAAUGUGAUUCUUCAUCUUCCAAGGAAGAUGAAAAUGAAGCUGAAAGAAAAAAUAUAUCUCAGGAGCUCAACAUGGAACAGAAAAAUCCAAAGAAAUAAAAGAUUUUCUGUAGUGUUUUUGAAAAGUUUGCAGCUUAUGUAAUAGCAGAUAAAAUUUCUAAUUGUAAAAUGUUAAAUUGUAAAAUCUAAUUUGCAAAAUGUUCUCAAUAAAGUCAUUCAAAAUGAAAUAGGA
rnacentral:sRNA from 1 species